UUUACAAACCCUGAGUUUUCGUAUCCAACGUUUGACCGUCCAUCUUAUUUAGAAAAGUUAUGAAAAAAAUAAAAAGACAAGUCAUGCAUAAAGUAUUAAUCAUGUUUUAUCAUCUAACAACAAUAAAAAUACUAAUUAUAAAAAAAUUUCAUAUAAGACGGACAGUCAAACGUUGUACGCAGAAAUUCAGGGUUUGUUUUUUU
rfam:Oryza glumipatula chromosome 5, whole genome shotgun sequence.